rnacentral:rRNA from 1 species
GAUCCUGGCUCAGACUCAAGUCGUAACAAGGUAACCGUAGAGUUUGAUCCUGGCUCAAACUCUGAUCAUAACGUGGGUACCCUGCACUUUGAAAGGGGAUAACACUUGGAAACAGGUGCUAAUACCGUAUAACACUAUUUUCCGCAUGGAAGAAAGUUGAAAGGCGCUUUUGCGUCACUGAUGGAUGGACCCGCGGUGCAUUAGCUAGUUGGUGAGGUAACGGCUCACCAAGGCCACGAUGCAUAGCCGACCUGAGAGGGUGAUCGGCCACACUGGGACUGAGACACGGCCCAGACUCCUACGGGAGGCAGCAGUAGGGAAUCUUCGGCAAUGGACGAAAGUCUGACCGAGCAACGCCGCGUGAGUGAAGAAGGUUUUCGGAUCGUAAAACUCUGUUGUUAGAGAAGAACAAGGAUGAGAGUAGAACGUUCAUCCCUUGACGGUAUCUAACCAGAAAGCCACGGCUAACUACGUGCCAGCAGCCGCGGUAAUACGUAGGUGGCAAGCGUUGUCCGGAUUUAUUGGGCGUAAAGCGAGCGCAGGCGGUUUCUUAAGUCUGAUGUGAAAGCCCCCGGCUCAACCGGGGAGGGUCAUUGGAAACUGGGAGACUUGAGUGCAGAAGAGGAGAGUGGAAUUCCAUGUGUAGCGGUGAAAUGCGUAGAUAUAUGGAGGAACACCAGUGGCGAAGGCGGCUCUCUGGUCUGUAACUGACGCUGAG